AUGGAAUCGGAGCCGGCCGCGCUGCCCGAAGACGCGCUCGCCGAGGUCCUCCGGCGUCUCCCGCCGCACGUCCUGGCCGAGGCCCGGCGGGUGUGCAAGGCGUGGCGCGACGCCGUCGACGGCCGCCUGCGCGGCAACCUGCUUCCGCGCUCGGUGCGCGGCAUCUUCAUCAACUUCAGUCAGACUUUCUUCUCGGAGUUCUUCGCCCGCCCCUCGACGGGCCCGGCGAUUGACGGAGGGCUCGAUUUCCUGCCCUGCAUGGGCGUCAAGGUCACGGACCACUGCCACGGCCUUCUGCUUUGCUGCGAGUCGGGUGACGAUGCACUGCCGCGCGAGUACGUCGUCAACCCGGCCACGCGUCGGUGGGCGCGUCUGCCCAAACGCCCCCGGCCGCACAUGCCAGGAUUCGAGCAGACCGCCUACCUCGCAUUUGACCCUGUUGUCUCGCUGCACUACCAGGUCUUUCUGAUCCCACGCGCCCCACUGCCCUGUGACGGCGAAACCGACGGCGACAACCCGUUGCUCGAAUCGGAGUGGCCCCCUGCAUCAUACUUCAUCCAUGUGUUCUCGUCGGUGACUCAGCGAUGGGAGAAGACAACCUUCCUUCGGGAAGGGGAAGCUGCAGGGAUCGUCGCCAACAAGCAGUGGAAUUUGUGGUAUGAUCACUAUUGUUAUCAGUAUAGUUAUCAUGCCGUCUACCAGCACCAGCAAAGCGCGCUCUACAUCCAUUGCCGGCAUGGCUAUCUUACCAGAAUGUCCUUGUCAAAUCACACAUACAGAGUAAUUAAACUACCAGGUGCCAGUGAAUUGAUGCGAUAUCCCAAUCACCACCAUCUCGGGAGAUCGUUGAGAGGGGUGUAUUAUGCAAUACUUGAUGACCGGAAUCGACUUCAGGUUUGGUAUCUCAGUGAAUCAUGCGGUCGAAUAGAAUGGCUAUUAAAACAUGAUACCUGUCUUAAGACCUUUGAACAUGAUGACUAUGCUCAACAAGUGGGCAGACAAUGGAUCUUACAAGAUGUUAACUACCGUAAGUGGUGCUCUGAAGAUCCCGAGAAUCACAAAGUGACUGCGGAAGAGAAAUAUGAUUGGAACUCUGAUGAGGAUAACGUUAUUGACACUCAAAAUGUCAUUGAAGAGGUUGAAGACGUCGAUGGAGAUUAUUUCCUCCUUGGAUUUCAUCCUUACAAAGAGGUUGUCUUCUUGAUUUUCAUCUGCAAUAACAACCAGAGGAUUGGCCUAUGA
rnacentral:rRNA from 1 species